UGAAAGACCAGUUCCUGUAUGAUCACUGAAGUUAAGCAAUGUCAGCCCUGAGCAAUACCUAGAUGGGUGACGGCUUGGGAAUACCAGGUGCUGUAAG